rnacentral:lncRNA from 1 species
AUCUUUCCUUCCCUUUUCCACUUCCUAAAGAGAAACGUUGAGAGAGGAAGAAGAAAUUUUAAAGAGAGAGAAAGAUGCAAGAAAGAAUGAGAAAAGUUGGAGUUUACGGAGCUUGACCAAGGAGUGCUAGAAGUUCUUCUCUCCCCUUCUAAAAGACUAAAUCGACUAGAUUUCGGUAAGGGAUUCUUUAGCAUUUUCAUCUACAUUUCUAAGUGUUCUUUUUAUUUUAUUAAUUUGAUGAAAUUAGAGAUUUGUUGAAAUGAAUUUCUAUGCUUGUUUGGUGGUUAAAUAUUUUGUUUUUAUUCAUGAUGAAUGUGUUAUAAUGAUGAUUUGGGAUAUCUAUGAUUUUGAUGCAUGCACAUAUGUGAUUGUUUGGUGAUUAAUUGCUUAAAUAUGAUUGUGUGAGAUAUGAUGCAUGAUGGUUAUACCAUAUGAUGCAAUGAUUAUGAUGCAUGAACUCUACAAAGAUGGAUGUUUGUUUAUAUAGAUAUGAGACAUGGUAUUAUUGAACAUGAUGAGAUAAUCUAUGAGUCUUUAUGGAAAUAUUGAGCAUGAUGUAUGAAAAGUAUGAUGAUGGGAAAAUGCAUGUGGUUUUGGCCCUUCGCUUUACUUUGGUAAUGGUAAAGAGGGUUAUUCUUGUGCACCUUGGCUUAAGAGAAUGACCCAAAGGUUAAAUCUGGGUAAAUGGGCCUUCAAACCGGAUACAUGAAAUGGGCCUUCGGCUGGAUAUGUAAAAAUGAGUCUUUGGAUCAGAUAUGUUAUAGGAUCCCUAUCAAAUUCAGAAAUGGUUGUAUUGAACACGUGACAUGCAAAAGAAAAGAAGAUGGAAUUUGUUGUGAACAUGAAAUAAACAAACAAAAAUAAUGGAAAAUUCGUUCAAUUGUUAUCUAUGAGGGAUUUCUGUUUCUCCCUCCUCUAACAAAGUGUUGGUGAAUGGCUCCUUGUGAUAAUCAACGAUCUCGUUGACGAGAGAUGAUACGCAUUAGGUACAUAUAGGGCCAUUGUUGUAAUGUACGACCAUGGUCAUAGUUUAUAUGGGGAAAUGAUAAUGGCCUAGGAAUGGGUCGGUGAUUCACAGAAGUAGCCAGAGAUCCCUUCUGCUCUCAGUGGAUGUAUGUUGUAAUGGCUUUGUACUGAGGUCGGUAAAAGACUUGAUAAAACCCCUAUAUGAUUAAGAAUACUAAUUUUAUCUCUGUGAUCAUUUAUAUAAUGGUUCUUCUAUUUAUUGAGCAUAUUAUUUAUUAGAUUUCCAUUGGAUAUAUGAUAUAUUUGGGUGUGCCAAAUGUGACAUAACAUGCCUGUUUUAAUGUGAAUAAUGGUGUUCUUAGCUUGGUUAUAUAACUGUCCCACCAGGGUUUCUUAAUAAAGACAAAAGAGUUUUUUGAAUAAUUAAAUGUCUUCAUCCCAUGAUGAUUCUCCAAGAUAAGAGGUAUCUAAGAUAUUGUUCAAGUUGUUUACUUUUUAAACCUUAACUAUGUAGUUUUAAAUAUUAUUUUUUUUACUUAGUUUACAUUAAACUCACCCUUAAUCCAUGCCCCCUAGAUGUUGAGCAAGUUGACGAUUGGCUCCCCGAGUUAUCUCUUGAAGUUUGACUAGAACCAUUCAUCGAUCCUUGGUAAUUGAUUAGGACAUAAUUUGAGUGCAAUAGUUUAUUUCACAGUCUAAUGUAAAGUUCCUGUACUAGCCUCAAUAUGGCUCUAUUUGAAACCCUCUAUGGUAGGCUUAGCCUCACGCGGGAAGGUAUAGGGAGGAUCGAAUUAACUCCUAAAACCCACUCAACGUAUGCAAUACCGAAACUAUAACCACUUAGAAUAACCUCUCCCUCUAAUUGAAUCUAUAAUCCGAAAAGGAAUGCAAAAACAAAGACUAAAAAAAUAAAAUAAAGAAAGGAAAAAUGUCAUGGACUUACUGAUAAAUUGAUCCCCGCUCCAUGGCUCAACAAGAUUUCUGAAAACUCCCACUUCCCGAAUAACUUGAAGGUAAUUUUAGUAAAAAUGCUAAAAGAAGAAAAAUAAAAACUUUUAAGAAUUCUCUCAAAUUGAUUGUCAAAUGUGUUUAAAACCUAUGGGCAAAGGUUUAUUUAUAUUAUUUCCUAAGCAAUCUACAUGAGUGCAAACUCUUGAGAUAAUUUAAUAAAAUAAUAGCCUAAAUAAAAUUCUAUCAACUUUAGGAUAAUUACAUAAUAAAAUAAUUAUUUUAUUCCAAAUAAAAUAAUUAAAUAAUCUUAAAGGAUAAACUUAUAAUAAAAUAUUAAUUAAAAUAAUUUAAUAUUUAUCCCAUGUGAUUUCCAUGUAAAAAACAUGUGGAAAUUAUUUUAGACAUGGAAUUUUAAUUUAAAAUAAUAAAAUAAAUUAAAAAAAGGAUAAAGGGAUCGGUUGGGUUUGGGUUACCCGGAUAGGCCGGGUAGGCUGGUUCAAGUAAGCUGCACGUAAAAAGUCCCACGGGAGGUACGAGCUAGUUGGCUUGGGCUGAGGUGGCUGUUCGCAAGCCCAUCUGUGUGGGGUGUGUGCGUUUGGCCCCUUUGGCCUACGCGCGCACAGUCUGUUUCGCCCAGGCCUAAAGGGUCGCGAGCGUGGACACUCCUGAGUGCUUGUACGCGUGGUCUGUGUGGGCAUGCGUGCGUGUUCGUGGGCUGUGCGAGCUAGGCCACAUGUUUGGCGCAUGUUCGGCAUAUGUGUGGGACUCUUUGCUCGAGUGUGGGCAUCCAGGUCUUUGCGUCAAAAAAGUUGCCUAUCUCCUAUUUUCCUACGGAGUAUAAAGUUGGCUUGAUUGCUUCAUUGUAGGAUCUUGGAACACCCGCAAAUGAGUGAGCCAAGUAUCAUAUACGUGUAUUGCGACACAUGUUACCCUAUGGGUACCAAAACCUAUACUACAUUCAGGCUUUGUUCUUGGGUAAGGAUUUUCAGACCAAACCAUUCCUUAGCAGGGUCUGUUAACCUUCGGGUUUCUGGUAACUUCUGGCGUCGUUUCUUCCUAGGCUGGGAACUCUAUUUAGUGUAUUCGACCUUGCUAUUUAAUACUUGGUCGGAAAUAGAGUAGUUCAGAAUAUUGUUACCUCACAAUUGCCUUCUUUCGUUUCUCGAAAGCUCAUCUAUACUUGCUCACUUCUUGCACUCCUCUGGUUUAGGUGUGGUUUUAGCGGGUAUUGCAUCAUAGCCGAUCUCUGACUCUUUGGAAUAAGGUUGGGGACAAGCAUCUCCUUAUGUUGGACUAUAUCCAGGAAGUUAUCAAGAAGGUUGACAUUAUCUGGAGACACCUCCUCAUUGCUCAUAGUUGCCAGAAAAGUUACAUAGACAAGUGGAGAUGGCCCUUGGAGUUUGCAAUUGUGAUCACAUUUUCCUCNNNNNNNNNNNNNNNNNNNNNNNNNNNNNNNNNNNNNNNNNNNNNNNNNNNNNNNNNNNNNNNNNNNNNNNNNNNNNNNNNNNNNNNNNNNNNNNNNNNNNNNNNNNNNNNNNNNNNNNNNNNNNNNNNNNNNNNNNNNNNNNNNNNNNNNNNNNNNNNNNNNNNNNNNNNNNNNNNNNNNNNNNNNNNNNNNNNNNNNNNNNNNNNNNNNNNNNNNNNNNNNNNNNNNNNNNNNNNNNNNNNNNNNNNNNNNNNNNNNNNNNNNNNNNNNNNNNNNNNNNNNNNNNNNNNNNNNNNNNNNNNNNNNNNNNNNNNNNNNNNNNNNNNNNNNNNNNNNNNNNNNNNNNNNNNNNNNNNNNNNNNNNNNNNNNNNNNNNNNNNNNNNNNNNNNNNNNNNNNNNNNNNNNNNNNNNNNNNNNNNNNNNNNNNNNNNNNNNNNNNNNNNNNNNNNNNNNNNNNNNNNNNNNNNNNNNNNNNNNNNNNNNNNNNNNNNNNNNNNNNNNNNNNNNNNNNNNNNNNNNNNNNNNNNNUCCAUUAAUUGGGUCUUGCUGCCAUUUAAAUUUUGUUAGUAUUUAAAAUUAUUAAUAUUUUUGCUUCACGUUAAUUUAAAUAAUUUUUAUUCAUUUUUUCUGUUUCCAAAAAUUAUUUUUGAUUUAAUAAUAUUUUCAGGGAAAUGAAUAGGAGUCAGUGAAGUCGGCGAAGGAAAAAACAAAAAAUCCCCUUAGCCCCCGACUCACACACAUGCAUGACCGCAACCCUGCACGUGGUCAGCUUGUGCAAGCAAGACUACGUGCAUGCACUGCGCACCCAUUGUGCACGAUUGUGCGCGUAGUACGCCGACACAAUGUGUAGCAUGGUUGCCCCUUACAUGAGGCAGGCAACCUAUGCAUGCGCGAUGUGCAGCAGGGCCACUUGUCUCGUCGAUGGGAUGGGAUAGCUGUUGCCUUAUCCUGUAGGCCAUUUUCGGCUAUGCCAAGUGGGCCCUACCCUCCUACCCACCUUAACACUUGCUUUCACGAAUGCUCGCCACUUGUCACACAUUUGAAAGCCCCCAAAAAUCUAUUUAAAGUCUUUCUUUCCCUUUCUUUCACUUCAUUCUCUUUUAUUUUCUACUAUUUUUAACUGAUGGAGGACGUAGGAUCAACAACGAAACCCAAAACUCCGCAUAUACAUCAGCAACUAGAAACUCAAAAUCCUAAGUAAACCCUCCCUAUUUGACCUACACUCAAUAGGGGAGUGAAAACUAAGGUAACUGGGAAAGAAAUAAGUAACUAUAAUUAAAAAGACAUUGUGAGACUUACCUUAAUAAGUGAUCCCAAUUUCUAGCACAAUAAGUUGGUCAAAGAUCCACUUACUCACUCUUGCAAGCUUGGAAGUUUAAAACAAAAAUACUUGAAUUUAUUUAAUAAACCAUAAAUUUUGAAUGAAUUACAACUUUGAAUUGCAAGCUUAUUUAUAGUGUAGGCUAUCCGAAUAAUAAGGAAAAAAAAUAAUCUCCUUAUUAAUUGUAGAAGUUACAUAGAAAAUUAAAUAUAAAAUAGAAUAGAAAACUAGCAAAAAUUAAGAGGAUUACAAUUAAAAUAUGAUAAAUAUGAUUUUUCUAUGAGAAAAACUUUUUAAAUAGAGAAUAUUUUAAUUAAUUGUGGCUAAUUUAGUGUAAGAAAUUUUGCCAAGAUAUUUUCCUCUCUUUUAAGUUUUUUUCUUUUUUGCAAGUUUUACCAUUUAAGGAGUUUUCCUCUUUCUCAUUAUAGCUUGCAAUUUAGGAAUAAUUUUUCCUCUUGGCUGAUCUUUAAUUAUGAAAAUUUUUCACAGCAUUAGAAAAAAAAAUCUCAUGGGAAUUUUUCUUUUUCAUGUCUUGUAAAAUUUUUCUCAUUUCUUGUUUAUUUCCCUCUUGCACUUGGGGUGAAUAGUAUAUACUAUUAUACCCUUGGGUUAAUGGCCUUAUUGUCUUCUUUUCUUGAGCUUCUUUAAUGGGUCCAAGCCCUCUUCCUCAUUGAUUCAUGCUUGGAUAAAAAGUUGAAAGGCUUGUUGUAAUCUUUUACCUCUCCUCCUUGUAAUAGGCCCCACUUGGCAUUGAGAUAUCUUUUCCACCAACUUGAUUCAUGUCCAUGCUCACAUCAUCCCUCCCUCUUUAAAAAGAUUUAUUCUUGAAUGUAGACCUGUAUCAAAAAGGGAAAGGUCAUAAAUAUUAAAGGUAGCAGACACACUGUACUCACUUGGGAGGUCAAUUUUUUAGGUGCUGUCAUUGAUACACUCUACAACUUGAAAAGUCCAUCUCCUCAGGGGUUUAACUUAGAUUUUUGCUGAUUGGAAAUCUUUCCUUUUGCAUAUAAAUCCAUACCCAAUUUUUGGCUUAGAAAACUACUCCUUUUCUUCCUUUAUUAGCGUGUUGUGCAUAGGAUUCAUUGUUCAUCUAGAUAUGGUGUCUGGCCUUCUCAUGUAUGACUUUAACAAGUUUUACUCUCCACUGACGAUCGGUAUCCUAAAUUUCCUACAAAGCUAAAGGUGUGAGGUCCAACAGAGUUAAAGGACUAAACCCAUAAACAAUCUCAAAAGGUGAAAAUUCUAAUAAGGUAUGAAUACUCCUAUUAUAUGCAAAGUUUACCAUGGGUAAACAAUCCUCCCAUAUUUUCAAAUUUCGACCAACUAGAGCUCUCAACAAGGAUCCUAAGGUCCUAUAAAUGACCUUAGUCUGACCAUCAGUCUGGGGGGUGACAUAUAGUAGAGAAUAACAACUUAGUUCCUAAUUUAUCCCACAAAAGUCUCAAAAAAUGAUAAGGAAUUUCAUAUCCCUAUCAUUCACAAUUGCCUUAGGAAUGUCAUGGAGUCUCAUAACAUCCUUGAAAAAUAGAUUUACGAUAUUUGUCGCAUCAUCAGUCUUAUGGCAUGCAAUAAAGUGUGUCAUCUUACUAAAUCUAUCCACGAUGACAAAUAUGCUAUCACUACUUCUCCUGGUCGUAGGCAAUCUUAAUACAAAAUCAAUAGAUAUAUUUAUCUAAGAUGUUGUAGGUGUAGGUAAAGGUGUGUAUAAUCCAUGAGAUAGAAUCCUAAAUUUGGCCUACUAACAUGCAAUGCACCUACUACAAAUGAACUCAACAUCUUUCCUCAUGUUAGGCGGAAAAAAAAAUGCUCCUUCAAUAUAUCUAGAGUUUUAGCUACCCUAAACUACCCCAUCAAUCCCCUGCUAUGAGCCUCACGCACCAGAAUUUCUUUAAGUGAACAGAUAGACACACAUAACUUACCAUCCCUAAGGAAAAAACCAUCAUGCCUAUAAAAGUUCUGAAAUGCAGAAUGCUCACAUGCAUGAUAAACAAUGAAAAAAUUAUUAUCAUUAGUAUACGUCUCCUUAAUAUGUUCAAAUCCUACCAACUUAGAGUUAAGUAUAGAAAUCAAAGUAUACAUGCGAAAUAAUACAUCAGCAAUAAUAUUAUAAUUACCUUGUUUAUACUUGAUUACAUAGGGGAAAGAUUUUAUGACCUCGAUCCACUUACCAUGAUAAUGGUUGAGUUUACCUUGGCCCUUCAAAUGUUUUAGGGAUUCGUGGUCUAUGUGGAUCAUGAACUCCAUUAGUACUAAAUAGUGUUAUCAUACCUCUAAUGCUCUGACCAAAACGUACAACUUCUUAUCGUAGGUUGAGUAAUUUAACAAUGUGCUACUAAGCUUCUCACUGAAUAAGACAUAGGACGCCCUUCCUAGACAAAACUACUCAUAUACCAAUACAUUCAAGUUCAAAAGUUUUAUUAAAGUCAGGUAAAACAAAAAUAAGUGCAGAACAUAAUUUUUCUUUCAAUAAAGUAAAAACGUGCUCUUCUUUUUCAAUCCAUAUAAAUUUUAUAUUUUUCUUUACCAGUUCAUUUAAUAGUGCUGUUAUGGAAUUGAAAUCCCCAAUAAACCUACGGUAGAAGCUCACCAAACCAUGAAAACUUCUUACCUUGCUGGUUGAUGUUAGAAUAGGUCAUUCUCUUAUUGCUUUCACCUUAUCCUCAUCUAUCUCAAUGCCUUAUGGACUAACUAUAAACCCUAAAAAAAUAAAAAUUUCACUACAGAAAGUACACUUCUUGACAUUGGCAUACAACUAUUCUUUCUUAAAGACCUCAAGAACAUACUUGAUAUGUUGAAGGUGAUCAUCUAAAGGCUUACUGUAAAUGAAGAUGUCAUCAAAGUAAACUACAACAAAUUUACCUAUAAAAGGUCAUAAAACAUGGUUCACGUCUCAUGAAGGUGCUUGGGGUGUUUGAUAAGCCAAAAUACAUUAAUAACCAUUCAUACAACUCGUACUUUAUUUUAAAGACAGUUUUUCACUCAUCUAUAGGUUUUAUCAUAAUCUGGUGGUACCCACUCUUAAGAUCUAUCUUAAUAAAAAUAGUAGAUCCAUUAAAUUCAUCUAGCAUAUCAUCUAACCUAGGAAUAGUGUAUCUAUACUUUGCCGUAGUUUUGUUGAUGGCUUGACAAUCCAGACACAUCCUCCAAGAUCCAUCCUUCUUAGGCAUAAAUAAUACCAGAACAGCACAAGAACUCAAACUUUUUCUUACAUGUCCUUUACCUAACAACUCCUCCACUUAUUGCUAAAGUUCCUUUGUCUUCUCAGGAUUACUUUGAUAGGCUAGGUAGUGUAGAAUUGAAGCUCCAAGGAUAAAGUCAAUCUGAUGUUCGAUCCCUCGUAGUGGUGGUAGACCAUCUAGAAUCUCCUCUAGGAACACAUCUUAAUAUUCCUGCAAAAGAGAGAAAACAGAACUAGGUAAAGAAGUGUCAAGGUCAGAAAAAUUUAGAUAAGCUUUUUUGUACUGAAGUAUAAUUAAGCUUUACUUCUCAUAGAUCUCUUAAGUCUUUUUUUUCUCUAAGUGGGUCAUUCUUAUUCGUUUCGGCCUCUUUUUUUUUUUUUUUUUGAAUAUUCUUUAAAAGAUUUCUUGAUUUUUAUUUGAUCAACAUAAACCUCCUUUAGGGAUAGAGGUAUCAAAAUAUAUUGUAGAUCAUUUAGAUGUAAAGAGUAUUGAUUCUUGAACCCACUGUGAUGUACCUGUCUAUCAUACUGCUAUGGUCAUCCAAGUAGGAUAUGACUAGCGUGCACGGGAACGACAUCCAAACAUAACUCAUCUUUGUACUAGCCUUACUUGUCUACUCUAACUUACUUGUGUACUCUAACUUCUUCACACUCAUUGAAAUAAUGUAGUCUAUAAGGGUUAGGGUAUUUAGUACAAGAUAACCAUAACUUGUCAACUAGCAAACUACUGGCAACAUUGGUACAAUUGCCUCCGUCUAUGAUCAAACUGCAUACCUUCUCAUUCACAUAACAUCUAGUGUGGAAGUUAUUCUCUCUUUAAUCGUUGUUUGUCUCUUUAGAUUAUAUAUUUAGGGCUCUUCGGACAACUAAUAUUCUACUAUCACUGCUGUACUCACUAGCAGUCUCUAUCUCGUCAUUGCUUCGCAAUAAUAUGAUAUUUUUAUUGGGGCAUCAUAACGCAAUGUGUCCAACUCCAAGGCACCUAAAACACUUAAUAGAACUUGAUAUUUGAGCAGCAGUAGGUGGUUUAGGGUUACCUUUGGAUUCAGUAGAGUUGGGCUUGUUCCUCUUUUCUUCAAAUCUUUUUCUUUCUUCCUUCCUUCCUUUUUAGGCCAUCUAGAACUAAUUGAAGGGUAGACUGAAAAUUACUUCUGGAGGAAUCUCUAUACUUUAUAUGUUUCUCAAUUUUCAUAGUUAUGUGUACCAUCUCAUCCAAAUUUAUGUAAUGAUGCAGUUCCACAACAUUGGUAAUAUCCCUAUUCAGACCACUCAAAAAUCUAGCCAUGGUGGCUUCUGGACUCUUGUAAACUCUGUCCCUGAUCAUUGCCAUCUCCAUCUCCUUGUGGUAAUCUUCCAUCGAGAGGGAUCCCUGGGUUAAUCUUUGGAGCUUCUAGUGCAAUUCUCUGUCAUAAUAAGAUGGGACAAACCUCUUUCUCAUAAUAGACUUCAUCUCUCUCCAAGUGGAUACAGGUUGGUCUCCAUCUCUUUUCUUGAUGGCGAUCACUUGGUCCCACCAAACAAGUGCAUAAUCUAUGAGGUCGACUGCUACUAGCAUUACUUUCUUGGCUUCACUGUAGUUGUGGUAGUUAAAGAUCAACUCUACCUUUCAUUCACACUCGAGAUAGGUCUCUGCAUCAUUCCUUCCUCUGAAUGGAGGUAUCUACAUCUUGAUGGAUUUGAUGUCAUCAUCUUUCCUCUAGAUUUCUCUUCUACUAACUUCACUAUUAUUGCCAUGUCACUCAUCAUCAUCCUAGUGGUGUCGAUGUCUAGGAUGACUAUGGUUCCUUCCUCCAUCUCUUUCAUCCAUCUUUGUUGCUAUACAUUCAAUGACUAAGCUCAGUCUGUUGUACGUGUCAUCCAUUCUAGCCUCUAUACGUUCUUCCAAGGUCAUAGGUAAGUUGAUUUCACUAAGCUAUAACAUAUUUGUUAAAAGAUGUUAGUUGAAAAAAAAAAGAAAUCACUCCCUCAGAAUCACUUGUGUUUACCUCUCCUGUCUUCUUCUAUUAAGUUGAGUGUUAGAAUUGGAUCUCUUGAAUCAAGACAAGCAAGGUUGCCUUUUAAGACUCUGCAAAGAAUCUUAAAAAGGAUCUUGUUUUCUAAAAGUUCGAAAAUAAGCACACAGAAGAAGAAUAUGUGAUGCUCGUAUACUUAUAGCUAAGUAGCUAGGAUGCAAUUAACCACUCAAAUGUAUAAUGGAACUAAAACAUUUAAGAAAGAUUGAAACUAAGAGUAGAAAAAGACAAUGCUGGAGGUAAAGUGUCAAGGAUCCUAUUAAUCCCUAUAGAUAUAACCGGAAUGUUAUACCUAAUUAUUCUACCCCAAUGACAUCUGCACUCAAUGACUCACUUGAGUUUCUGUAAUGCAGAUGUUAAUGCAAAAUAUUGAAUGUAAUAUUAUAAAAAAGAAAAUAAGGGAGUCAUACACCUCUCUCUUUUUUUUGCUCUUUUUUCACAUAUUUUAUUUUUUUCUUCAUAGAUUAUGUUUUUUCUAACAGAUUCUAUUUUUUUCACAAAGCCUCUCUUUUUUUUUAUUAUAAUAACAACGUUAAAAAAAAUUAUUGAAAAUAAAUUAAAUGAAUUAGCACUUUAUAUUAUGAGUGCUAAUUUUAUGUAAGAAAAUAAAUGUAAACAGUAAAUUAAAAAGAUAGUAGAUGUACCAGAAUAUAAUCUCUGAUACUAAUUGGUGUGGAACCCGAGAUCAACAACGGAAUCCAAAACCCCGCAUAUACAUCAGCAACCAAAAACUCAAAACCCUAAAUAAAUCCUCUCUACUUGAUCUGCACUCAAUAGAGGAGUGAAAAUCAAGAUAAAUGAGAAAGAAAUAAAAAACUAAAAUUGAAAAGACAUCACGAGACUUACCUCGAUUAGUGAUUCUAAUUUCUAACACAAUAAAUCGGUCAAAAACCCACUCACUCACUCUUGCAAGCUUGUAGACUUAAAAUAAAAAUACCUGAAUUUUAUUAAUAAGCUGUAAUUUAUGAGUAAAUUACAACUCUAAAUUGAAAGUCUAUUUAUAGUGUAAGUCAUGCGAAUAAUAAGAAAAAAAUAAUCUCCUAAUUAAUUGUAGAAAUUAUAUAGGAAAUUAAAUCUAAUUUAGAAUGAAAAAACUAGUAAAAUUAAGAAAAUUACAAUUAAAAUAUGAUAUAUAUGAUUUCCUUAUGAGGAAAACUUUUUUAAUAGGGAAUAUCUUAAUUAAUUGUGACUGAUUUAAAGAAAGAAAUUCUGCCAAGAUAUUUUUCUCUUUCUCAAGUAUUUUCAUUUUCCACAAGAUUUAACAUUUAAGAAGUUUUCCUCUUUCUUAGGAUAGCUUGUAAUUUAGGACUAAUUUUUCUUAUUUCUUUAAUUGUGAAGAUUUUUCGCAUGAUUAGAAAAUAAAAUCCUCUGAGAAUUUUUCUUUUUCAUGUCUUGCAGAACUUUUCCCCUUUCUUGCUUAUUUUCCUCUUGCACUUGGGGUGAAUAGUUUAUAUUAUUAUACUCUUAGGUUAAUAGCCUUUAAUGAGUCCAAGCCCAUCUUCUUCAUUGUUCCAUGCUUGAAUAAAAAGUUGAAAGGCUUGUCGUAAUCUUUUAUCUCUCUCCCUUAUAAUGGAUUAACUUGGCAUUGAGAUAUCAUUUCUGCCAACUUGAUCUAUGUCCAUACUCACAUCAUUAACACUUCAUUUUCCCUUCUAUUUUCCACUUCCUACAGAGAGAAACUUUAAGAGAGGAAGAAGGAAUUUUUUAGAGAGAGAAAGAGGCAAAAAAGAAGGAGAAAAAUAUGACUUUAUAGAACUUUACUAAGGGGUGCUAGGAGUUCUUUUCUCACCUUCCAAAAGACAAAAUCGACUCGAUUUUAGUAAGAAAUUCUUUAGUAUUUUCAUCUACAUUUCUAAGUGCUCAUUUUAGUUUUACUAAUUUAGUGAAAUUAGAGAUUGCUUAAAUGGAUUUCACUACUUCUUUGGUGGUUAAAGUUUUGGUAUGUAUUCAUGAUGAAUGUGUUAUAAUGAUGAUUUGGGAUCUCUAUGAUUUCGACGCAUGGACUUAUGUGCUUGUUUGGUCAUUAAUUGCUUAAAUAUGAUGGUGUCAGAUAUGAUACAUGAUGGUUGGUUGUACCAUAUGAUAAAAUGACUAUGAUGCAUGAAGUCUACAAAGAUGGAUGUUUGUUUAUGUUGAUAUGAGACAUGGUAUUAUUAAAAAUGAUGAUAUAAUGUGUCUAUAUGGUAAUUGAUCAUUAUUUAUUUAUGGAAAUAUUGAGCAUGAUGUAUGAAAAUCAUGAUGAUGGGAAAAUGCAUGCGAGUUUGGCCAUUCACUUUACCUUGGUAAUGGUAAAGAGGGUUAUUCUCAUGAGCCUUGGCUCAAGAGGAUGACCCGAAAGUUAAAUCUGGGUAAAUGGGCCUUCGAGCCAAAUGCAUAAAAUGGGUCUUCAGGCUGGAUAUAUGAGAAUGAAUCUUCAUAUAGAUAUGUUGCAGGAUUCCUAUUGGAUUUGGAAGUGGUUGUAUUGAACACGUGACAUGCAAAAGAAAAGAACAUGGAAUUUGUUGUGAACAUGAAAUGAACAAGCAAAAAUAAUAAAAAUCCAUUUGACUGGUAUCUCUGAGGGAUUUUUGUUUCUCCCUCCUCUAAGAAAGUGUUGGUGAACCACCCUCUGUGAUGAUUGGCGAUCCCUCUGAUAAGAGAAGAUACGCAUUAGACAUGUAGGGCCACUGUGACGACGUACGACCGUCGUCGUUAGUUAGAUGGGGAAAUGAUAUUGGCCCAAGAAUGGGUUGGUGAUUCAUAGCUGUAGUCGGGGAUCGCUUCUGCCCUAAGUGGAUAUAUGUUAUAAUAAAUUCACACGGAAGUCAAUAAAAGACUUAAUAAAACUCACAUAUGAUUAAAAAUACUAAUUAUAUCUUUGUGAUGAUUUAUAUGAUGGUUCUUCUGUUUAUUGAAUAUGCUAUUUGUUUUAUUUUCAUUGGAUAUAUGAUACAUUUGGGUAUGCCUAAUGAGACAUAACAUUUCUGCUCAAAUAUGAAUAAUGGUGUUCUUAACUUGGUUAUAUGACUUUACUAGAUUUUCUUAAUAAAGACAAAAGGAUUUUCUGAAUAAUUAAAUGUCUUCAUCCCGGAAUGGUUCUCCAAGGUAAAAGGUAUCUAAGGUAUUUUUCAAGUUGUUUACUUUUUUAAACUCUAGCCGUGUGGUUUUAAAUAUUAUUUUUCUUACUAAGUUUACAUGAAACUCACUCUUAAUCCGUGCCCCCUUAGAUGUUGAGGAAGUUGAGGAUUGGCUCCUCAAGUUAUCUCUUGAAGUCUAACUAGAACUAUUCAUGGAUCUUUUGUAAUUCUUUAUGACAUAAUUUGAGUGCAAUAAUUUUUUCAUACUCUGAUUUAA